CCUACGGGAGGCAGCAGUGGGGAAUAUUGGACAAUGGGCGAAAGCCUGAUCCAGCAAUUCCGCGUGUGUGAAGAAGGCCUUCGGGUUGUAAAGCACUUUAGUUGGGGAAGAAACAGCUUGGCCACACCAAGCCUUGACGGUACCCAAAGAAUAAGCACCGGCUAACUCUGUGCCAGCAGCCGCGGUAAUACAGAGGGUGCAAGCGUUAAUCGGAUUUACUGGGCGUAAAGGGUGCGUAGGUGGUUUUGUAAGUCGGAUGUGAAAGCCUGGGGCUCAACCUCAGAAUUGCACUCGAUACUGCAAGACUAGAGUUCGGUAGAGGGCGGCGGAAUUCCCGGUGUAGCGGUGAAAUGCGUAGAUAUCGGGAGGAACAUCAAUGGCGAAGGCAGCCGCCUGGGCCUGAACUGACACUGAGGCACGAAAGCGUGGGUAGCAAACAGGAUUAGAUACCCUGGUAGUCCACGCUGUAAACGAUGAGAACUUGACGUUGGUUCGUUUUACGAAUCGGUGUCGCAGCUAACGCGAUAAGUUCUCCGCCUGGGGAUACGGCCGCAAGGUUGAAACUCAAAGGAUUGACGGCUGAGAGNGCGAGAGACGACGAGGAGAG
rnacentral:rRNA from 1 species